GACGAACGCUGGCGGCGUGCCUAAUACAUGCAAGUAGAACGCUGAAGGAGGAGCUUGCUUCUCUGGAUGAGUUGCGAACGGGUGAGUAACGCGUAGGUAACCUGCCUGGUAGCGGGGGAUAACUAUUGGAAACGAUAGCUAAUACCGCAUAAUAGUAGAUGUUGCAUGACAUUUGCUUAAAAGGUGCAAUUGCAUCACUACCAGAUGGACCUGCGUUGUAUUAGCUAGUUGGUGGGGUAACGGCUCACCAAGGCGACGAUACAUAGCCGACCUGAGAGGGGGAUCGGCCACACUGGGACUGAGACACGGCCCAGACUCCUACGGGAGGCAGCAGUAGGGAAUCUUCGGCAAUGGACGGAAGUCUGACCGAGAAACGCCGCGUGAGUGAAGAAGGUUUUCGGAUCGUAAAGCUCUGUUGUAAGAGAAGAACGAGUGUGAGAGUGGAAAGUUCACACUGAGACGGUAACUUACCAGAAAGGGACGGCUAACUACGUG
rnacentral:rRNA from 1 species